GAUGAACGCUGGCGGCGUGCCUAAUACAUGCAAGUCGAGCGAAUGACGAGGAGCUUGCUCCUCUGAUUUAGCGGCGGACGGGUGAGUAACACGUGGGUAACCUGCCUGUAAGACGGGGAUAACUCCGGGAAACCGGAGCUAAUACCGGAUGAUAACGAGAAGCGCCUGCUUCUUUUUUGAAAGUCGGUUUCGGCUGACGCUUACAGAUGGGCCCGCGGCGCAUUAGCUAGUUGGUGAGGUAACGGCUCACCAAGGCGACGAUGCGUAGCCGACCUGAGAGGGUGAUCGGCCACACUGGGACUGAGACACGGCCCAGACUCCUACGGGAGGCAGCAGUAGGGAAUCUUCGGCAAUGGACGAAAGUCUGACCGAGCAACGCCGCGUGAGCGAUGAAGGCCUUCGGGUCGUAAAGCUCUGUUGUCAGAGAAGAACAAGUACCGGAGUAACUGCCGGUACCUUGACGGUACCUGACCAGAAAGCCACGGCUAACUACGUGCCAGCAGCCGCCGUAA
rnacentral:rRNA from 1 species